CAAUAGCGUAUAUUAAAGUUGUUGCAGUUAAAAAGCUCGUAGUUGGAUUUCGGAUGGGAUUUGCCGGUCCGUCGUUACGAUGUGCACUGGCCAGUCCUAUCUUGUUGUCGGGGACUAGCUCCUUGGAUUCACUUCCUGGGACUAGGAGCUGACGAGGUUACUUUGAGUAAAUUAGAGUGUUCAAAGCAAGCCUACGCUCUGAAUACAUUAGCAUGGAAUAACACGAUAGGACUCUGGCUUAUCUUGUUGGUCUGUGAGACCAGAGUAAUGAUUAAGAGGGACAGUCGGGGACAUUCGUAUUUCAUUGUCAGAGGUGAAAUUCUUGGAUUUAUGAAAGACGAACUUCUGCGAAAGCAUUUGUCAAGGAUGUUUUCAUUAA
rnacentral:rRNA from 1 species